UACGUAGGGGGCAAGCGUUGUCCGGAUUUAUUGGGCGUAAAGAGCGUGUAGGCGGCUAGAUAGGUCCGUUGUGAAACCUGGAGGCUCAACCUCCAGCUGUCGAUGGAAACCAUCUGGCUAGAGUCCGGAAGAGGAUGAGGGAAUUCCUGGUGUAGCGGUGAAAUGCGUAGAUAUCAGGAGGAACACCGGUGGCGAAGGCGCUCAUCUGGCCCAAUACUGACGCUGAAGCUCGAAAGCUAGGGGAGCAAACGGG
rnacentral:rRNA from 1 species